ensembl:lncRNA
GGUCCAGAUUUGGGGCUUUUUGGGUCCAGAUUUGGGGUUUUUGGGUCCAAUUUGGGUCAGAUUUGGGGUUUUUUGGGUCCAGAUUUGGGUCAGAUUUGGGGUUUUUGGGUCCAAUUUGGGUCAGAUUUGGGGUUUUUUGGUCCAGAUUUGGGGUUUUUGGGUCCAAUUUGGGUCAGAUUUGGGGUAUUUUGGGUCAGAUUUGGGGUUUUUUGGGUCAAAUUUGGGUCUUUUGGGGUCCAAUUUGGGUCAGAUUUGGGGUUUUUUGGAUCAUAUUUGGGGUUUUGGGGGUCAAAUUUGGGGUUUUUGGGUCAGAUUUGGGUUUUUUGGGUCAGAUUUGGGGUUUUUUGGAUCAGAUUUGGGGUUUUUUGGGUCCAGAUUUGGGGUUUUUGGGUCAAAUUGGGUCAAAUUUGGGUUUUUUUGGUCCAUUUUGGGUCAGAUUUGGGGUUUUUUGGAUCAUAUUUGGGGUUUUUGGGUCCAGAUUUGGGGUUUUUGGGUCCAAUUUGGGUCAGAUUUGGGGCUUUUUGGGUCAGAUUUGGGGUUUUUUUGGGUCCAGAUUUGGGUUUUUUGGGUCCAAUUUGAGGCAGAUUUGGGGCUUUUUGGGUCCAGAUUUGGUGUUUUUGGGGUCAAAUUUUGGGGUUUUUUGGGUCAAAUUUGGGGUUUUUUGGGUCCAGAUUUGGGGUUUUUUGGGUCCAAUUUGGGUCAGAUUUGGGGUUUUUUGGAUCAUAUUUGGGGUUUUUUUGGGUCAAAUUGGGUCAGAUUUGGGGUUUUUUUGGGUCAGAUUUGGGUUUUUAGGGUCCAAAUUGGGUCAAAUUUGGGUUUUUUGGGGUCAAAUUGGGGCAGAUUUGGGGUUUUUUGGGUCAGAUUUGGGGUUUUUUAGGCUCCAAUUUGGGUCAAAUUUGGGGUUUUUGGGGUCAAAUUGGGUCAGAUUUGGGGUUUUUUUGGGUCAGAUUUGGGGUUUUUUGGAUCAUAUUUGGGGUUUUUUGGGUCCAAAUUGGGUCAAAUUUGGG